rfam:Ophiophagus hannah scaffold2002.1, whole genome shotgun sequence.
CCAAAGGCUCUUUUCAGAGCCACCUACAAUUUCAAGUAAGGAGCUG